CCAGACCGUCUUUCCUCCCAGCUCCAGGGCUGCAUCGCCAUGGCACGCCACGCUUACCCUGGUUACCUGCGCUCUCUGCCGUCACCCUCCUGGGCUUCGCCGUGGUGCACACCGACCGGAAUGGUGUCUCUGUGCCCUGCAGAAGAAGGACCUGGUGGCGUAGCGUUGGCCAGGGUCUCCUCGCAGCUGGAUGAGGGGACUUGGAGGACAGGGUGAAGCUGGUUAGAGAGGAUGCCAAGGACUGGGCAGGGGAGCUAGGAAUAUUACACGUCCAAUGCCCACCUCGCUGCGCAGGGGAGGGCGCGGCAUCUCCUCCUCCUCACGCCCAGCCCGGGCUGCUCUCGGGGAUUUGGUCAGGGGGCACCGCCCAGGCCGAGAUAUGGUGGCAUUUCCGAGAGUGGAGCUGAAGAUGGAUAAACAAGGCAUCUGAUGUGUCUGCCUGGCGAGGCAGAGCUGGAGAAGGGCAGAGUCAGGGGACGCGUGGAGACGGAGAUGCGGAAUGCCGUGGUCGUCUGCCGCUCGCUCUGCGCUUUGCGCUCUCUGUCUAGGGAGGAUGGCAUAAUUUAUAACCCUGCACAUGGAUGGAGGAACUGUAAACUGUAGCCUGGAUGUCCCCGGUGCUGACAAGGAAGCAACUGAUGGGCUAGGUGACUAUACAGUGUCCCCAGAGAAAACAGCAGCCGUGCAGCAUGAUUGAAAUGCAUGUCCACGCGGGCAGAGACUUGGGGGGAUUGCUGACCAUUUUGCACAGGAAGUCUGUCACCCUGCUGGAUCGGGCUUGAUUGCGGCUUGUGUUUUCGGCUCUAGCUCAACACCCAUUUCCUGACUAGCCAGAAAGCAUGGCCAGAGCAGCUGCUGGCAGAAUUUUCUUUUUAUUAUAAAAGCAAGCCCCCUCUGUUUUAACUCCUUGAAGUUCUGAAUGUUCUGUGCUGGGCUGGGGCUGAUUGUGGGUUUUUGUUUUCUUCUUCUUCUACAGAUCCCUGUAAACACAGCUGUAUUCAGUAUGGUGAAAAAUUCUAUCCCGUAAAUAGAAAUGUGAUCAAUUUAAUCAAAAUAAAUGUAUCCCAGAUGACUUUGAGACCAGCUGGCCACCACAGGCUUCAGAUGCUAAAUGCUUGGUGGAGAUGAAUACGGUGUUAUAUUUACAUGCUUCACAAUGCCAGGGUCUGCCUCCAAUGAAAAAAAAAAAAAAAAGAAACCCUUCUCUAGGAGGAGAGGUGGUCUUCAGGCUCACGGCUAGAUGGUUAGGUGCAGGCACAGAUAUCCCGACAGUGACUGGUGCUGAGUCUCACAGGGCGUGUGCCAGGAGGCGGAGUACGGCACUGCAACAUGGAGAACGCUUGCAUCUAACUUGCCUUUUGGAGAGGCCAGUGUCCUCCAGGCAGCCUCUGUCUACCAGGUUGGGACCAGGCAUUCCAGGCUUGUGGAUUUAGAGGGGCGAGUCGUGGUGCAGGAUCCCAGCUCGGUGGAGCUGGCUCCAACCUGGGGUGAGGAGCUUUCCCAGUUGUCAUGGGGAGCUCUUCUGGGACGCCUUGUCUGGCCCUUGCCCUGUUUGUUACUAAUUCUACAAAGGCAGCUCUGUGUGUUGGAUUAUGUUUGGCCAGCUGUUGAUGCAUUCCUGCGGGCGGGGCAGGGCGAGGAUCUUAUUACUGUACUUCAAGCUGCAGAUCUGUGUGCAGGGAGAGAGGGCAGAGAGGGGGGAGAAACAAG
rnacentral:lncRNA from 1 species